UGCAUUCCAGUCUGGGCGACAGGACAAGACUCUGUUUCAAAAACAAACAGUGUAAGAACACAUGCCACUUGUUUUCGUGUUCUUACACUGUGCCCCUCCUGUGGAUACCCAUGAGAGGGGUUCAUUGGAGCUGUGUCCAGAAGUCAGUAAGUGAUGGGCACAUCUCUGCUCUUGGCCUCAGGUGAAUGUGGUGCUGUGCUUUGUCCUUGAAGCCUGGAAACACUUACGAAUGCAGGGAACAUCUGUCGGAAAUGGUGCUAGAACCUCCAGGAAGACAGAACACCCCUAAUCAAAUGCACCGAUUCACCAUCACAGGACCCAGUAUUCCAUAUAUCUAGCAGCACUCGACAAUCAUUUCAAACACUUGAGGUGCAUUUCUCUCAGUGCCUAUUACGAGAAAAUUACGUUUAGCAAUUGGGGCUCAACUGAAAGAAUGUGACAAUAUAAUCACCAUUUAACAUAUCUUUGUAAAGCAAAGGAAGCUACCACAGAAGUUUGUAAAUCACAGCUCUGUAGAAAAUAAGCUGAGUUAGAAGAAUGGACACAUUGGGCUAGGAAAGAGUCCUUGAACAAGGGACAGGCUUAGAAGUGACAUUUCUACAUUAGCUUUCAUUAAAGGAAACAUUAAAUAGUAAAAUUUCCCUAGCUAGGAAUAAAGACCAUAUAAUGUGCCCAAGAGCAUGGGUCGUUUAUAUAUUCAACCAGCUCUACAUACACACACAGUAUCCUCAUUGGUAGAGAGGAGAUGAUCAGAGUCCCUUCCUCCCACGUGGAUGUCAGGGUUAAAUGAGACACUGAGGCUUCUGGUACAGGGCCUGGCAUGAGGUAACCCAUGAGUGUUAGUUGCUGCUGUAUUACAACUAUUACCGAUGGAGUGAAUUGAUCACCAAAAAGCAUGAUAACCCUACCAACAAACUUUGGAUAAUUAAGGUAACAAAUCAAGCUCCCUUUUCUAUAAGCUAACAGAAAACUAUGAGCAAAACAUUAGUGUGUCAUGUAAAAAUGGAUGUAUGCACUUACCAAAUUGAACUAAUUACUAAGCGAUACUAGUUUUACUGCUGAAUAUGACUAAGCUGUCUUGGCAAUAAAGAUAACGUCAGGUUUUUGCUGAAAUGCUGGAGAAAAAGGGAGCUAUGUAUCACGGUAUAUUUGGAUUUAUCGUGGAAACAGGAGAUAAUUAGGUUGGCCGUUCAUUCUAGUUUGCCUGGGGCAUUCCCAAUUUAUGUUGACCAUCUUAAUUAUUAAUCACACUCUCUCAGGCAUGUCUCCUACUUUAAGAGGAUAAAUUAUGUGGUCACCAUAGUGAUGAAAACCAAAACGACUGAGAAGCUGAUUGAAGGGUCUGAUCUGCAACCUGAGGCUCAGCACAGGUACCAUCUGCUCCCUCUAGCCAUACCCAGGACAUGGUUUGGAUGGACGCAUGAAACAGGUUUCAUGCAAAGAUGUUGCCUAGAGAGAAAUACAGAAAUCCAACUGAGGUCAAGACAUGUGGGCAGAAACCAAAUGCCCAAGUUUAAUGAGAGAGAAUUCUCUUCCUGACUCCUCUCCAUUCAAGUUGGGCUCUACAGGUAAGACCUCAGUUUCAUAAAACAGAAUGAAGAACUUUUUCGGGCCUGAUUUAAAGGAAGUCUUGGAAGAGUCCCUGCUGGUAGAGAAAAAAACAUCAGCGGUAGGAAUACUUUCUUCUGAUCACAUGGUCUAUUAGAGGUAGCCCCAGUUUGACAUGGUACCCAGGCACCAAACUAACUGCUUUAUGUGAAUUAUCUCAUUUAACCAUCUGAGUAGCUGAAUUGUCUCUGUUUUAUAGAGGCACCAAGAAGCAGACGUAUCAAGGUCUUCCUUUUGAGAUAAACCACAAAUCCAGCGGCAAGAAGACACAGGAUGGUCACCAGAAUUCCUACGGUUAAAGCUUGGUUAUCUGAAACAAAACACAUUGGGCUCACGGAAGGCAGCAGUUACAGUGACGUAUGGGAGGUAUCAAGUUGUGACAUUUAUGGCAAAGUGAACUUCGAGGCAACAAACAGAAAUGAAGAGAGUAAACCCUUGAGUGAUGUACUAAUAAACUGUCUUACU